rnacentral:rRNA from 1 species
AUCGGUCUGCAGAUAGCUGCGCCGGCUUUACUUGAGAAAAAUAAAGUUCUUCAAGCAGGCGUACGUCAUGGAUAUGUGAGCAUGGAAUAAUCAUAUAUGCCUCGGCUCAGAUUUUGUUGGUUUCCAUUGCUGAGGUAAAGGGUUGUAGGGCCAGAUGGGGGCACUCGCAUUUAACUGUCAGAGGUGAAAUUCUUGGAUUUGUCAAAGACGGCCCAGUGCGAAAGCAUUUGCCAAGAAUGUUCUCGUUGAUCAAGAACGAAAGUUAGGGGAUCGAAGAUGAUCAGAUACCAUCCUAGUCUUAACCAUAAACGAUGCCUACUAGAGAUCGGAGGUUGUUCAAUUUGCGACGCCUUCAGCAUCCUAUGAGAAAUCGAAGUCUUUGGGUUCUGGGGGGAGUAUGGUCGCAAGGCUGAAACUUAAAGGAAUUGACGGAAGGGCACCACCAGGAGUGGAGCCUGCGGCUUAAUUUGACUCAACGCGGGGAAACUUACUAGGUCCAGACACAGUAAGGAUUGACAGACUGAUAGAUCUUUCGUGAUCUUGUGGGUGGUGGUGCAUGGCCGUUCUUAGUUGGUGGAGUGAUUUGUCUGGUUAAUUCCGUUCACGAACGAGACCUCAACUCACUAAUUAGCCACGCCAAUCUUAGGAUAGGUGGGGUGCUUCUUAGAGGGACUUUGUGCUUCUAGUACAGGGAAGAUUGAGGCAAUAACAGGUCUGUGAUGCCCUUAGAUGUUCUGGGCUGCACGCGCGCGACACUGAUUCAUCCAUCGAGUUUGCGCCUUGCCCUAUAUAGUCGGGCACUCUUCUGGAACUGCAUCGUGUUGGGGAUAGAUUAUUGCAAUUAUUAAUCUUGAACGAGGAAUUCCUAGUAGGCGCGAGUCAUCAACUCGUGCUGAUUAUGUCCCUGCCCUUUGUACACACCGCCCGUCGCUCCUACCGAUUGAGUGCUCCUGUGAACAAUUUGGAUUGCGGCAGUCUCCAGUAUUGGCACCUGCUGUAGGAAGAUUUGUGAAUGCAAC